CAACUCGCAUGAAUCGUCAAACUCAAACAAUCAUCCGUUCAGAAACAAUUACCUAGGGUUCAUUUAAUCUAAACAUGAGGAGUUUAGCUACUAAUAACUUUGAAGAACAAAUCAAAAUCAGCAAAGGAACACAUUGGAACUAGGUUUACAAGAAGAAAUCCGAAAAACUAAUUUCGCCGAAAUCCGUCGAAAAAAUUGAUCUAAAUUAUGUCUUCCAAUCCGAGAUCCUUGAAGUGGAC
rnacentral:lncRNA from 1 species